UAAUAAGUGUUUUAUGGCACUUUUUAAAUCCAUAUCCACCUUGUGUGCAAUGUCAGUCGAUCUUCUUCACGGAGGAUCGACCAAACAUCAACCUUUAUCUUUUAACUCUUUGUCUUAAAAAUAUUAUGAAUAAACAAUUCAAAAUA
rnacentral:misc_RNA from 1 species